rnacentral:rRNA from 1 species
GACGAACGCUGGCCGCGUGCCUAAUACAUGCAAGUCGAGCGGGUUCUGGGAGGCUUGCCUCCUGGAAUCAGCGGCGGACGGGUGAGUAACACGUGGGCAAUCCGCCUGUCAGACCGGAAUAACGCCUGGAAACGGGUGCUAAUGCCGGAUAGAGCAAUGGGCAGGCAUCUGCCUGUUGGGAAAGGCACAAAUGUGCUGCUGACAGAGGAGCCCGCGGCGCAUUAGCUAGUUGGCGGGGUAACGGCCCACCAAGGCGACGAUGCGUAGCCGACCUGAGAGGGUGACCGGCCACACUGGGACUGAGACACGGCCCAGACUCCUACGGGAGGCAGCAGUAGGGAAUCUUCCGCAAUGGGCGCAAGCCUGACGGAGCAACGCCGCGUGAGCGAAGAAGGCCUUCGGGUUGUAAAGCUCAGUCACCCGGGAAGAGCGACCUGCGGAGUGGAAAGCCGCAGGGGAGACGGUACCGGGAGAGGAAGCCCCGGCAAACUACGUGCCAGCAGCCGCGGUAAUAAGUAGGGGGCGAGCGUUGUCCGGAAUCACUGGGCGUAAAGCGUGCGUAGGCGGUCAAGCAAGUCCGAGGUGAAAGACCGAGGCUCAACCUCGGGGUGGCCUUGGGAAACUGUUUGACUUGAGUGCUGGAGAGGCAAGGGGAAUUCCACGUGUAGCGGUGAAAUGCGUAGAUAUGUGGAGGAAUACCAGUGGCAAAGGCGCCUUGCUGGACAGUGACUGACGCUGAGGCACCAAAAGCGUGGGGAGCAAACAGGAUUAGAUACCCUGGUAGUCCACCCCGUAAACGAUGAGUGCUAGGUGUUGGGGGGGUUACCCUUCAGUACCGAAGGAAACCCAAUAAGCACUCCGCCUGGGGAGUACGGUCGCAAGACUGAAACUCAAAGGAAUUGACGGGGGCCCGCACAAGCAGUGGAGCAUGUGGUUUAAUUCGAAGCAACGCGAAGAACCUUACCAGGGCUUGACAUCCCUCUGACAGGUGCAGAGAUGCACCCUCCCUUCGGGGCAGAGGAGACAGGUGGUGCAUGGUUGUCGUCAGCUCGUGUCGUGAGAUGUUGGGUUAAGUCCCGCAACGAGCGCAACCCUUGACCUGUGUUACCAGCGCGUAAUGGCGGGGACUCACAGGUGACUGCCGGCGUAAGUCGGAGGAAGGUGGGGAUGACGUCAAAUCAUCAUGCCCUUUAUGUCCUGGGCUACACACGUGCUACAAUGGGCGGUACAACGGGAAGCGAGGCCGCGAGGCGGAGCAAACCCCUGAAAGCCGCCCCCAGUUCGGAUUGCAGGCUGC